rnacentral:rRNA from 1 species
GACCUUAACUCUGCCGACCGGCGAUCCGCCACCGUUACUUGAAUGACUUGGCGGGCAGCCUCCGGGAAACCUUGAGUGUUUGGGUUCCGGGGGAAGUAUGGUUGCAAAGCUGAAACUUAAAGGAAUUGACGGAAGGGCACCACCAGGAGUGGAGCCUGCGGCUUAAUUUGACUCAACACGGGAAAUCUCACCAGGCCCGGACACCGGAAGGAUUGACAGAUUGAGAGCUCUUUCUUGAUUCGGUGGGUGGUGGUGCAUGGCCGUUCUUAGUUGGUGGAGCGAUUUGUCUGGUUAAUUCCGAUAACGAACGAGACUCUAGCCUGCUAAAUAGGCAGUGGAUUAUUCGUCCACUGUACUUCUUAGAGGGACAAGCAGCGUCUAGCUGCACGAGAUUGAGCAAUAACAGGUCUGUGAUGCCCUUAGAUGUUCGGGGCUGCACGCGCGCUACACUGAAGGAAUCAACAUGCUUCUCAACCUUGGCCGGAAGGUCUAGGUAACCCGUUGAAACUCCUUCGUGAUUGGGAUAGGGAAUUGCAAUUAUUUCCCUUGAACGAGGAAUUCCCAGUAAGUGCGGGUCAUCAGCUCGCGCUGAUUACGUCCCUGCCCUUUGUACACACCGCCCGUCGCUACUACCGAUUGGAGGUAGAGCAGAGGCCUCGGGAUUGAUGUCUGGACUGGUUUCCGCUAGCCCAGAGUAUUGAGAACUUGGUCUAUGCCCUAGCUUUAGAGGAAGUAAAAGUCG